rnacentral:rRNA from 1 species
UACGAAGGGGGCUAGCGUUGCUCGGAAUUCCUGGGCGUAAAGGGAGCGUAGGCGGACAUUUUAGUCAGGGGUGAAAUCCCGGGGCUCAACCUCGGAAUUGCCUUUGAUACUGGGUGUCUUGAGUAUGAGAGAGGUAUGUGGAACUCCGAGUGUAGAGGUGAAAUUCGUAGAUAUUCGGAAGAACACCAGUGGCGAAGGCGACAUACUGGCUCAUUACUGACGCUGAGGCUCGAAAGCGUGGGGAGCAAACAGG